GUCCCGGAGGCGAAGCGGAACGACUAGGGUCUUCCUGCAGGGGCGGGGCAUCCGCACGGCUACUGCGCAUGCGGAAGGCCCUGGCGGUGGCUGGCUUUUCUGGGCUACAAGCCCCAGUUUUAAUGAGACUAGAGUGGCGUUUGUGAAAUCAUCAACACAAAAUGGACCAAGAUCAACUAAAGAAAACACAGCAUCAUGACACUCUAAGUUUCACAGGGAGCAGCCAUUCAUCUACUUCAGUUUCCCUGCAAAUUGAAAUCUGUAUUUAAGUUCAUAGAAGCCUCCUAAAAAUUCUGCAAAAAGGUCCCUCCAGAAGGAUCAGUUGUGCCUCGAGCCAAAUAGUUUUAGCAGCCAAGAGAUAAGAGAGAAAUAAAAAAUAAGAUGAGAGCUGUUGUCAGCAA